CCUACGGGAGGCAGCAGUGAGGAAUAUUGGUCAAUGGCCGGAAGGCUGAACCAGCCAUGCCGCGUGAAGGUCAGUGCCCUAUGGGCGUUAAACUUCUUUUGUGCGGGAGCAAUAAUGGUCACGUGUGGCCAGACGAGAGUACCGUACGAAUAAGCAUCGGCUAACUCCGUGCCAGCAGCCGCGGUAAUAGGGGGGAUGCAAGCGUUAUCCGGAUUUAUUGGGGUUAAAGGGUGCGUAGGCUGUGAGGUAAGUCAGCGGUGAAAUGCCCCCACUAAACGGGGUGAAGUGCCAUUGAUACUGCCUUGCUGGAAUGCGGAUGCGGUGGGAGGAAUGUGUGGUGUAGCGGUGAAAUGCAUAGAGAUCACACAGAACACCGAUUGCGAAGGCAUCUCACGAAUCCGCGAUUGACGCUGAUGCACGAAAGCGUGGGUAUCAAACAGGAUUAGAUACCCCUGUAGUC
rnacentral:rRNA from 1 species